UACGUAGGGGCAAGCGUUAUCCGGAUUUACUGGGUGUAAAGGGAGCGCAGACGGCAGCGCAAGUCUGAUGUGAAAUCCCGGGGCUCAACCCCGGAACUGCAUUGGAAACUGCGCAGCUCGAGUAUCGGAGAGGUAAGCGGAAUUCCUAGUGUAGCGGUGAAAUGCGUAGAUAUUAGGAGGGACACCGGCGGCGAAGGCGGCUUACUGGACGAAGACUGACGUUGAGGCUCGAAAGCGUGGGGAGCAAACAGGAUUAGAUACCCCGGUAGUCCCUGA
rnacentral:rRNA from 1 species